GGGCAAGAUAGGUGAAGUUAGCUAACCUGCAAGCAGGUUACCUAAUUCACUUAGCUUAUUCGCACCUGCGGUGCUCAAUGUAUAAAACAUAAAAUCCUCCCAAAAAGUG
rfam:Legionella sp. LEGN contig_34, whole genome shotgun sequence.